ensembl:ncRNA C29E6.16 ncRNA
GAUUGAGGCUUUUUUGAAACCUGCCUGCCUAACAACGGCCUCUCGCCUGUUUUCUGCACCUUGUCGUGAACAAAUUUCUGAAAGUUCACGAGUGCUUCAGCAGAAAUCGUGAGAAAGGCGCAAGGCAGGCGUUUAUGAAAGCCCUAAGUU